AAACAUUUCUGAGGGGAAAAUGUUUUUGGUUUAACCUGCUCAAUGCUAAAGUAAAUAGCUGCAGUAUUUUGACUGUACAAAGGUAGCAUAAUCAUUAGUCUUUUGAUUGGAGGCUUGUAUGAAUGGUUGAACAGAAUAUUAGCUUUUUUAACUGUAUGAUAUUUUAAUUUAUAGUUUAUGUAAAAAUGCAUAAUUAUUUAAAAGGGACGAUAAGACCCUAUAGAAUUUAAAAAUAUUUUGGUAAUUAUAUUUUUUUGUUGGGGUGACAGUAAAUAAACUUUUAUAAAAUAUUCAUUGAUAAAUGGUUAAUUGAUCCUAAUAUUUAGAGAAAAAGAUAAAAUUACCUUAGGGAUAACAGCAUAAUUUUUUUUAAAAGAUCUUAUUAAUAAAAGAGAUUAUGACCUCGAUGUUGAAUUAAAAUAGAAUUUAGGUGUAGAAGCUUAAUUU
rnacentral:rRNA from 1 species